AGCGAACGCUGGCGGCAGGCCUAACGCAUGCAAGUCGAACGAAGUCUUCGGACUUAGUGGCGGACGGGUGAGUAACACGUGGGAACGUACCUUUUGGUUCGGAACAACUCAGGGAAACUUGAGCUAAUACCGGAUGAGCCCUUAGGGGGAAAGAUUUAUCGCCGAAAGAGCGGCCCGCGUUAGAUUAGCUAGUUGGUGAGGUAAAGGCUCACCAAGGCGACGAUCAGUAGCUGGUCUGAGAGGAUGAUCAGCCACAUUGGGACUGAGACACGGCCCAAACUCCUACGGGAGGCAGCAGUGGGGAAUUUUGCGCAAUGGGCGAAAGCCUGACGCAGCCAUGCCGCGUGAAUGAUGAAGGUCUUAGGAUUGUAAAAUUCUUUCACCGGGGACGAUAAUGACGGUACCCGGAGAAGAAGCCCCGGCUAACUUCGUGCCAGCAGCCGCCGUAAAAC
rnacentral:rRNA from 1 species